AGGUGGUGCAGUGGGUCAGUGCAUCUGGCUGUUAACCAGAAGGCAGGUGGUUCGUGCCCACCCAGGGAUG